AUGUAUGGUUGUGUUAGUAACAACCAGAGGAUUGCAGUGAAACCAACCAUGACUGGAUAAACGUUUGUUUAGUGUGUGUAAUUAUCACAAACGUUUCGUCCAAAGUUGAAUGAGACGGAAAUCACGACGCAACCGGUUUACAAAUGUUUCGUGUUAGGCGAUAAAAAUGUAUUUUAUCAAACAAAACGAAUAUUCACUGUGUAGUUAGGACACUUGGCAUUUCCACCAGAGGAAGAUCUUCAAUGGCAUUUCCCACCAGCAUCCUUCUGAAUGGAGGGGCUCCUAUGGCACCACCACACCACCCCGCCCACCAGAGAGUCGACUAGCCCCCGCAGAAUCACACUAAUCCUCCCGGCAGAGAGUCAACUGAAGCCCCAGUAGCAGUGCACCACUCCACCCGAGUCACCAACACCCAGCAGCUCAGCACCACUCUGGCUGUCUACCAGGGUAGCGGAGGAGGAACAGGCUAUGAGGCUCCGUGCGCUGUCCACACUCAAUUGGUGUUGAAAAAGUGCAUGCGCUCUCUCGAUGCGUGAAUGACCGGCGCCGCGCAGCUGGUCUCUCAACUCACCAUCAACGCAAUGAGCGAGCGCGAUCCCGACUCUCCACCGUUCAAAGCGCUCCGCUUAGUAACGGCGCCGUCAACACUAAACCCCCAAUGCUCUCUUUGCGCCGAGACCGCUGGGCUGGCAUCCAAAUGCACGUCAAGACUGACGCCCAACUGGCUUUCCAUAGAACUGGCCCUGAGAACGAACUAAUUAGGGGUGUUGACUGUGCAUGUUUUCUGCUACUGCAUUUUUAUUGUUUUUCUCAGUUAUAUUCUAUGCUGUUCUGUUUAUAACUUUGGACAUUUUAGAGAGAGUGCAACAUAAUAGUGGCCAGGUAGGACUGUUGUUCUACCUAUUUAUCUUGGGAUAUACAGUAUGUCUAUGCCAUUAAGGGCUGCAUGGUGAGGCUGGUUGAUAACUAAUUAUAUUGUAGAUUUGCACAAUUGAUCAGUAAGCACCUCUUUUAUUGUGCAGUCAAUGUAAUAAUUUCUCAGUCCAUUUCAGUGAUUGACAGUUACUGUAUUAACCAUGUGGAAGUGUGUGUGUGUGUGUGUGUGUGUGUGUGCGUGCGUGCAUGUACAGAAUAUGUAUUUGAUCUAUAGAUCUAAAGAUGGAACUAUAGGGGACUUGAGGUGUAUGUAAUACAUUCCUGUCCAGACAGUUUUGUAAAGAUGAAUGAAAACAGCCUGUGCAACAAAUAGUUAUUUAAGCAGCACAAUGGAGCUAAAGCUACCAGCCCCAUAGAGCCUUAUACAGGAGUCGAAUCAGACUCCAUAAUGAAUGAGAGCAAACCCUUUCCAUCCCGGAGGGCAUGGUUACCUCAUAAAGAGCAACACAUUAAAUAAAGCUUAGCACCAUUGAACACGUUAACAUUAUUUUGUCGCUUUGGUACUAUAUUCACUUAACAACCAUUGAUCCAAAAUAUAUGUUAAUGUGAAAUAUAAUGAGUACAUUGGUUUAAUCACCAAAACACAACAUAAUGAUAUAAUGUCAUUAUUUUAACAACCAGUUCAUCCAAAAGGAAAACUUUUAAGAUAAAUUGCCCUUUGGAUGUUAUAUGCUAUAUUACAGUGCAAAUUCUUCCACUCAUUCAAAUUGAGUAAACAUAAAAUGUACAUUUCUAUCCCAUGUGUGUCAAUGGUGUGACCAUUGAAGACCUAUUUACAAUGUAAUCAAAUGAAACAAAUGAAAGAAACCUAGUGUUUUAAGGCAUUAGUUUGUAUCAAGCCUGUAUUGAGCAUUUGGACAUAGGUUGUCAUUGAAAUCACAGUAAAUAUCCUCAUUGUUCAUGCACCUGGGGAAAAACCUUUUGGCAUGGUGAAUCCAAGCCUAAAUACUGUAGGUCUGGAUUUAAGUCAUUGCAUAUCUCAUCCAUGGCCUCAAUGAGGCUGUUACUCUCAUGGGGAUGGCAAUCAUACAUGUUCCAUUGUAAACAUGUAUUGUAGUGGUAUUGUGCGUGGCUCAGUUGACGAGAGCAUGGCAUUAGCACCAGCAGAGUUGUGGGUUAGAUUCCCACUGGGGACACAUACCAAAAGGUCUAAAAUGUCUGCUGCGUAAAUGGCAAUAGAUCGCUGUGAAAAGUAUUUUCCCCCAGUCUAGUUUUCUCUAUUUUUGCAUAUUUGUUUAUACUGAAUGUUAUCAGAGCUUCAACCAAAACCUAAUAUUAAAUAAAGGGAACCUGAGUUUACAAAUAACAACAGAAAAUGGAUACAUAUUUUACUUAUUU